rnacentral:rRNA from 1 species
GACGAACGCUGGCGGCGUGCUUAACACAUGCAAGUCGAACGGAAAGGCCCUGCUUUUGUGGGGUGCUCGAGUGGCGAACGGGUGAGUAACACGUGAGUAACCUGCCCUUGACUUUGGGAUAACUUCAGGAAACUGGGGCUGAUACCGGAUAGGAGCUCCUGCUGCAUGGUGGGGGUUGGAAGGUUUCGGCGGUUGGGGAUGGACUCGCGGCUUAUCAGCUUGUUGGUGGGGUAGUGGCUUACCAAGGCUUUGACGGGUAGCCGGCCUGAGAGGGUGACCGGCCACAUUGGGACUGAGAUACGGCCCAGACUCCUACGGGAGGCAGCAGUGGGGAAUAUUGCACAAUGGGCGGAAGCCUGAUGCAGCAACGCCGCGUGCGGGAUGACGGCCUUCGGGUUGUAAACCGCUUUCGCCUGUGACGAAGCGUGAGUGACGGUAAUGGGUAAAGAAGCACCGGCUAACUACGUG